ACUAGCAGGAGUGAUUUAUGACCAUGUGAAACUAAUAUCUGGAAAGGUUUUCUUUCUUUCUUUACACAUUUUCUCAUCAUCUAGUUUCUGUUCUCUUCCAGGAAUACGAGUCAGGAGGCAGACAGUGCAAUCAAGGUAUAGAGGAGCAUUCAAACCACAUGACUCCUGUGGUUAUACAGGUCAGACACAAACAUAUGAAUUUGUUAUCUGGGGUGAAAGAACUAGACGUUCCAGAAAAAAUAUAUAAGCCAGUUCCUUUGCUCCAGUAAACAUGCCACUCAGCACUGUGCUGUGCAUCAUGUUUACUUUUUUCCAUGUAAAUUGAACUAGCUAGUCAUCAUUCAUUGCUUUCAAAUAAGAACUGCUGCAGUCUUAACUGAUUGGGGUUUUUUAAACAAAAAAAUGCCAGUUUGACUAUGGUUUUUCAAGGGUUUUUAUAGAAGAGAUAUGGGUAAGAAAGAGUGUCUCUUCUUCCCCACCUUUCAAUAUGUUUCAUCACAAUCACCAUCCUUCAGUCUACUGAAGAUUAGUUCCGCUGUUGCCUGGUGUGAUAAGACUGCAAACCCCAACCCACCCACCCCCCAUGUAUGCUCUGCAAUCUGAUCACCCUUUUUUUCUUUGUAGAGGCAGAAUGUAUGAGUGGAGACUGCUCAUACCGCUAUACAUCUGGCCUCUGCAUAACCUUUUAUGCUCCGUGUCCCCUGGGAUUCUGUGCUAUCAUGUGCACAAGCCUGGCUUCAAAGCAAUGUAUAUCCAGUAUAUGUUGCAGAGGCCUCCAGACCCCGGGCCUCAUCACCAUAAGGGCAGAAUCUCCAACAGUUUUAAUAUAAGGCAGGGUGGGAGACUAAGCCAUUGCCUUUGCUGAAAAAUCCAGGCAUUCAGACUGGUUUGUUAAAAUAUUGAGGUCCAUUUGUGGCUCUUGUCCCAAGGACCAUACACUGGCUUCAACUAUAACGAACCUUUUAAGAGCUAGUGUAUGCGCUACAGCAUACAGCUUUAUCUAUAAAAUCUUGGCUUAAUGUCUCUUUAUCACAGUGGUACCUUGGUUUAAGAACAGCUUAGUUUAUGAACAACUUGGAUUAAGAACGCUGCCUUGGAAGCAGAACAUGUUUCGCUUCCUGUUGAGUGUGUUCCAUUUGUAAAUUGAGUCCCCCACUGCUAUGAGAAAGCACACAUUGGUUUAAGAACGCUUUGGUUUAAGAGCAGACUUCCGGAAUGGAUUAAGUUCGUAAACCAAGGUACCACUGUACAAUCAAAGCUAAUUGUAGGAUAAAAACAAUAAAUAUGGUAAUGUACUAAUUUAAACAUAUUCUGCAUAAACUCAAAUGUGAUUUCAUAGCAUCAUAGAGCUCGAAGGGAUCUCAAGGCUGUGUGGGCCAACUUCUUGGUACUACAGCAUCCCUGACAGGUGACCAUCCAGUCUCUGCCCAUAAACUUAUAAUGCAAGAGAAUCUACCACCUUCUAAGACAGUGUCUGUUCCACUGUCAGGUAGCUUAUACAAUCAGGCAGUUCUCUAAUGUUUAGUCCAAAGCCACUUUCUUGAAAUUCAGGGCAUGUGGUUUCGGUCCUACCUUCUGCAACUACAGAAAACAAACUUGUUCCAUCAUCUUAUGUGACAGCCCUGCAGCCAUAUUUAAAGAUGGCUAUUGUAGUCCUUUAUUUUUCUCUUCUCUAACCCUAUUCAAUGCCACCAACCUUUUUUGUAUAAGGACUUGGUCUCCUGAGCUCUCAGCUCCUUAGUUGCCCCCUCCACUGGACAUGUUCCAGUUUGUUCAAUCUGAGUCUUAAAACUGCAGUGCCCAGAAGUCGGUAGCAAAACAUUGGUAACUGUUUUUGUGUCAAUUCCACCAAUUUGAUACUAAAUAUUUAAGGGAUGGUUCUCGCAGCUGCUCUGAGAGUUAUGAAAUCAGGAUCACUGCCCAUCCGACUACUUACUCCUCUUAUUUCUUUACCUAAGGUAUGACUGCUGCAUCAUGAGAUCUGUAUUGCUGCUUGCUUUUUAGCAGUUAACCUGUGGCCCACCAGCUGAUGUUGCACUCGUAACUCCCAUCUGCCUCAGCUAGCACUAGGACCACAAGUCAAAAGCUAACAAUAAAUCCUCCUGUCUACUUUUUUUUGGUAGGAGUGUGUGUGUGUGUGUGUGUGUGUGUGUGUGUGUGUUGGAGAGAACACCAGCUUUAAAAGCAGUUGUGCUAUUAAUCUUAACUUUCUAAAACAAAGAAUCCUUGUACAUUAUCUGAAUUUUUCACCAUUAGGUUGGUGUGCAAGUACAGUAAUGUUAGUCCACCUUCAUGUGUGGGUACCUCUGACAAAAAUCACCCUUUUCUGUUAGGACUCUUCAUGGACCACUCCAAUUUUGUCUGCAUUUACCUAAUGAAUAACUAUGAAAAUAUGGACAGGAAUCAUUUCAGCCAUUUUUGGCAAUAAAUUUCUUAUCUUUUUACCAUCGUCUGCAAGGUGAUAUACUGGAUACCUUGAGAAAAGCAGAGGUGCCAGUUUAGUCCAAAUUAAGGUGCUAGUUUUGUCAUAGUAGGGUAGGAAAGUGGCAAUCAUGUCAGUUUGUUGGUGUACCCACUAUGGGAGAAAGUUAGCAGCUGUCUCAUUAGUUCAGUGUUGCCCACCCACCUGUCAUUUGCAGGCAAGACUAAAGGAUUUGUU
rnacentral:lncRNA from 1 species